rnacentral:rRNA from 1 species
UACGUAGGGUGCGAGCGUUGUCCGGAAUUAUUGGGCGUAAAGAGCUCGUAGGCGGUGUGUCACGUCGUUCGUGAAAACCUGCAGCUUAACUGUGGGCGUGCGGUCGAUACGGGCAUCACUGGAGUUCGGCAGGGGAGACUGGAAUUCCAGGUGUAGCGGUGAAAUGCGUAGAUAUCUGGAGGAACACCGGUGGCGAAGGCGGCAUCCUGGACCGAGAUUGACGCUGAGGCGCGAAAGCCAGGGGAGCAAACGGG